rnacentral:rRNA from 1 species
UACGUAGGGUGCAAGCGUUGUCCGGAAUUAUUGGGCGUAAAGGGCUCGUAGGCGGCCAACUAAGUCGGACGUGAAGCCCUCGGCUUAACCGAGGAACUGCGUCCGAUACUGGAUGGCUUGAGGUUGGAGAGGAUGCGGAAUUCCGUGUAGCGUGAAUGCGCAGAUAUCGGAGACACUAUGGCGAGCAGCUCUCUGGACGUACUGACGCUGAGACGCGAAGCGUGGAGCGACAG